AUUGAACGCUGGCGGCAGGCUUAACACAUGCAAGUCGAACGAGUGGCGGACGUGUGAGUAAUGCUUGUGACUCUUGCUUAUGGAGGGGGUUCACUACGGGACACUGUAGCUACUACCGCGUACCAUAGGAUGAGCCCAAGUGGGAUUAGGUAGUUGGUGAGGUAAAGGCUCACCAAGCCGACGAUCUCUAGCUGGUCUGAGAGGAUGACCAGCCACACUGGAACUGAGACACGGCCCAGACUCCUACGGGAGGCAGCAGUGGGGAAUAUUGCGCAAGGGGGGAAACCUGACGCAGCCAUGCCGCGUGAAUGAAGAAGGUCUUCGGGUUGUAAAGUUCUUUCGGUAGCGAGGCGUUAACUACAGAAGAAGCACCGGCUAACUCCGUGCCAGCAGCCGCGGUAAUUC
rnacentral:rRNA from 1 species